UACGUAGGUGGCAAGCGUUGUCCGGAUUUAUUGGGUUUAAAGGGUGCGUAGGUGGUCUAUUAAGUCAGUGCUGAAAUAUCCCGGCUUAACCGGGAGGGUGGCAUUGAUACUGAUGGACUUGAGUAAAGUUGAGGUGGGCGGAAUUGACGGUGUAGCGGUGAAAUGCUUAGAUAUCGUCAAGAACACCUAUUGCGAAGGCAGCUCACUAAGCUUUAACUGACACUGAGGCACGAAAAGUGUGGGGAUCAAACAGG
rnacentral:rRNA from 1 species